CUGCAUGGCUGUCGUCAGCUCGUGUCGUGAGAUGUUGGGUUAAGUCCCGCAACGAGCGCAACCCUUGCCUUUAGUUGCCAGCAGUUCGGCUGGGCGACUCUAAAGGGACUGCCGGUGUUAAACCGGAGGAAGGUGGGGAUGACGUCAAGUCCUCAUGGCCUUUAUGACCAGGGCUACACACGUACUACAAUGGCCGAUACAAAGGGCAGCGACACUGCGAGGUGAAGCCAAUCCCGUAAAAUCGGUCUCAGUCCGGAUUGGAGUCUGCAACUCGACUCCAUGAAGUUGGAAUCGCUAGUAAUCGUGGAUCAGCAUGCCACGGUGAAUACGUUCCCGGGCCUU
rnacentral:rRNA from 1 species